GCGCCCUUAGCUCAAUGGAUAGAGCACCAGUCUUCUAAACUGUAGGUUGGCGGUUCGAGUCCGCCAGGGCGCA
rfam:Coriobacteriaceae bacterium BV3Ac1 contig00003, whole genome shotgun sequence.